UUCAUUCCCUACGCACUACAAAUUAACAUGCAAUGCAAUUACGACUACGACUCUAAUCGAACACAAAAAAAAAAAAUUAUCAAGCAUUUCUAAUCUCUAUUUCAGCACCAUAUACGUUUCGGAAAAUCCCAACUCCAUCGUAACCAAAUAGGCCCAACCUGAUCCCAUAAACAGUAGGCCCACUGGCCCACAAAAUAAUUGAUCAACAUGAGUUUCCAAAUUCUAGCGAGCGUAGAACAUCAAUACAAUACUAAAAGGAAAAUAAGGGCCUCAUUUAGGCUAUCCACGUUAUCAUAAAAAUUCAUCCAAUCAGGUUUUAAAGUUUUACUAAGUAAUCAAAGGAUUUCUUAUGUUAGGCUUAAAUUUUUUAUGAGAUAGAAUGUUAAGGUAAAUGGCCCAGGAAGUCCAUUUAAUCGAAAGCAUCGUGACCUAAAGCAUUUCAACAUAUGCAUUUCAUAAAGACAUGGGCCCCAUAGUUCUCGGUUUGGUUUGGUGAUUGCGUUCUGGCGUUUCGUUUUUAAGUUACGCGUCGGUUCAAUUAAUAUUUGGUUAAGUCAUCAAACACAGCGUUUUGUGUUUAAGUAGAUUAGGGUCUCUCUUAUUGUUCUCAGACUCUUGACCUUUGUCGUAUGCGUUCAAUUUCUCUGCAAACACGAAACUUUUCUUCUACAAACUCUUAAUCUUCCCUUAUCGUUCAACGUAUUCUCUUGAUUUACCAAUUAAUGUUUUCGUAUCGACCACUCCGUUUCCUUCAAGUCAAACCUAUAAAAUGGAGAGGGUGGAGGGUUGGCUGAAUCUUCACAAGACUUGGUAAAUUAAAUUACGAGGUUUCCGCUAUAUUUUAGGACUGAUGGCGUUUCACUCGAUAAAGUCUCUUCACAAAUUAACUCGAAUCACUUCUGCAGCCGAUUCUUCUGUUAGCAGCCAUGGUAACUUUCUUAAGCUUCUCACUUCAUCUCUGUCGCACGAAUUGUACUUCUGAUUUCUAAUUCUGCUUUAAUAAUUUCGCAGGUGAAGAACCUGAUAACCAAACCAAGUAUAAAGCUCCGUCUCAGUACCGUUUUCACUCUUUUAUAUUUGAUUUGUUGAUUAUUUUUUCAUAUCAGGAGUAUAUUUGAUUGGUACCUGACAUAAGACCGGGGGUUGAUAUACAAGUUAUAAGUUUAAGAACAAUUUUCUGAAAGAUAAAUUUAGAAACUGUUUGUGCUUCUGUUCUUUAGCUCAUGUUCAUAGUGUUCUCCUCUUCUUAACUCAUGUUCAUAUUGUUCUCCUGAUGUUUAAAUUCAUGUUCAUAUUGUUCUGAAACUCAACAGUCAACAUUAUCAAGCUGUUAUAUUCGGAUCUUUAUUGAAAUCUUUUGAAUGAUUAAUGUAGACUUAAAAUAAAUGUGCAAAAAAAUGUUUUUUUUGAACAAGUAUAUAGUAAUAAAAGCGAUGUAUGGAGCUUGGGUUUAGUAAUGCUUGAAUUGCGCUGCAAGAAUCAUAUCCACCUCAGCUGAAGAGGAAACAUGGAGCAGUCUUCUCGAGUUCAUGGAAGCUAUUGAUGACCAACCACCGCCCACUCUUCUUCCUUCAGAAAGUUUCUCCUUUUGCAAAAGGACCCAGUCGAAGCUCUGCAAAGGAUCUAAUGGUUUGUUGAAAUCACCAUCCUUGAAAAUCAUCUCAGGAACAUCCUUUCUUGAAGAAGUACGACGACAACUCUGGGACAAAUCUGGCAUCAUACUUCAUAGAUGCAUGGUCUCUGUUUGCAACGCUUAAGAAUCUGUCUGGUUAGUUCUCCGUUUAGGCUCCAGGAAGAUAUCAUAUUAUCAUCAUCAUCUGGUUGUUACUAUUAUUAUCUGAGGUUUCUUUGUUUUAAACCACCAGUAAAAAUAAUAUCUUGAUCAUAUAGAUUUGUGCUAAUGUUGUAUUUAAAGAUUAUAGGAUAUAUGAGAAUCAUGGGACUGAUUAGUGAGUUAUAUUUUUUUGACUAUUUCAAGAUUCAGCAUCUUUAGUGUU